CCUACGGGGGGCAGCAGUCGAGAAUCAUUCACAAUGGGGGAAACCCUGAUGGUGUGACGCCGCGUGGGGGAAUGAAGGUCUUCGGAUUGUAAACCCCUGUCAUGUGGGAGCAAAUUAAAAAGAUAGUACCACAAGAGGAAGAGACGGCUAACUCUGUGCCAGCAGCCGCGGUAAUACGUAUGUCGCAAGCGUUAUCCGGAUUUAUUGGGCGUAAAGCGUGCGUAGGCUGUUUCGUAAGUCGUGUGUGAAAGGCGCGGGCUCAACCCGCGGACGGCACAUGAUACUGCGAGACUAGAGUAAUGGAGGGGGAACCGGAAUUCUCGGUGUAGCAGUGAAAUGCGUAGAUAUCGAGAGGAACACUCGUGGCGAAGGCGGGUUCCUGGACAUUAACUGACGCUGAGGCACGAAGGCCAGGGGAGCGAAA
rnacentral:rRNA from 1 species